UCUCCAUCCAUGUCUUAUUUCUCACUUUCUCCUGUCAGAUCCCUCUCAUUGUCUAGGUCUCUUGUGCCUUUGUUUUCUGUCUCUGACUUUUAGACCUUCAGGUUUCUCAGUGAGUUUUAGAUCUCUUUACCCAUUCCUUUCCCAUCCUUCAAGUAUCUAAAUUCAUCCAUUUUCCCCAGUCAAGUCUGAACACAUAUACUUAUCUCCCUCUCUCACUCACUGUGGCUAACUCUUUCUCUUUGCAUGUGGCUCCUCACUUUUGCUUCUCCUCCCUGUGCUCCUCCCUUCAGCCAUCUCACACCACAUACUUCUUGCCAUUCAUGUGUUCCUUCUCAAUGACAUUUGACAGUCACUCAAUGUAUCAGAGUUUGGGUCUCUCCAUUCAUUCCUUUCUGUCUGCCAUUUCACUCAUCAUCAUCCUCUCAUUUUCCUACUCCACGCUCCUCUCUGUACUUCUUUUCAUCCAUUCAAUUCUGAUCCCCCACUAUAUACCCACCAGCAUAUACAAUUUCUCUAUAUAUACUUGUUGCACUUGUUCCCUUCCAUCUCUCUGGGAUUUCUCUCAUACUCAGGGUUCCUAGGAUACAAUCAUGUCUCAUACUUCUCUUGAUUUAGCCUCUGCUUCCUGAGCUUAUCCCUCCUAGUAUUGUUUAUUAAAUCUUCAGCAUCUUCAUCUUCUCACAGGCUCAGCUAUCUCUAUGUUUCCACCUUCUCUACUUUACUUUUUGGGCUUUCCAACUCACUUCAUUGUAUCCUGAUCUGCAGCUAUAAACCUUUCAUUCAGUACAUCUCCAUUUCCAUAUAACUCUCAUUCCCUUUGCCUCUUUCCUCAUUUAUCCAACUCUUUCAGCCUUGGGUCCUCUUCUACCAGUAGCUUGGUUUUUCCUACCUGAGUAUCAAUGCAGUCUAUCUCGUUCAGUCUUCAGAUCCAUUAUGUUCCCCUGCUGAUCUCGUUUUCUAAAACUUAGAUCACUCUGUUGAAUUUUCCUCUCAUUCAUUUCUCCUUCCCUCACUGUCCCUCUCCAAAUAUUUCUCUUUCAUUCAAUCUCACCAGUCAUUCUUCCAUUCUUUUGUGCUCAAAUUCAGUCAUUUCUCCUUACACACCUCUUACCAUUCACUCCUUUUUCUUAUUGAAUUUGACUAUUCCUUCAAGUAUCAGAGGUUGGGUCUCUUCUUUCACUCCUGUCUUUCUGGUCUCUGUGUGUCACAUUCUCACAUUCACCCCAUCAGGAUUUCUCAUUCCACUCUUUUUCUCUUUAGUCUCUCAACUCUCAUUGUCUUAAACGUUCAUACAAGCAAUCUCCCAUUUUCUCACACAUUUUCUUUUUUCACAGUGGCCGGCCUCUUCUGUAUUCAUUCAUGCUCUAUUAGUACUAGACCUAAACUCUUCUCUGCCCCUCUACAACUCGAUGAUCCCUUGACCACACAAACGUGUAAUUUCUCCUUUCAUACACUGGUCACACUCUAGCUCACUAGAUUUAGCCGCAUAGCCCACAGGGAGCAGCCUUGCUUCUCCACAUCAUGCACAUUCAGUCCAUCACUUCUCUCAUCCUUCACUCCUUCAGGUAGAUUUUGCAAACAGGCAAUCAUCACUUUCACUCUUCCCCAUUUUCUUGCAUGUCCCACAAUGGCUCUUUUGCAGCAUAGCAUAUUUGACUCUCACCAUCUCACCAUUCAGCCGUUCAUCUACAUAUCCUUCAUAGCUAAGGCUCGUGCUUUUAAACCCACACACUGCACACUUGUUUCCAGCCAAAUAUCUCUGUUGUGCGUACAGGGCUAUUUCCACACAUCACCCACUCUCUUGCUCUCUCUUUCCAUACCCUGCUCACUCUUUUUGUGUCUCUCUCCAUCCAUGUCUUAUUUCUCACUUUCUCCUGUCAGAUCCCUCUCAUUGUCUAGGUCUCUUGUGCCUUUGUUUUCUGUCUCUGACUUUUAGACCUUCAGGUUUCUCAGUGAGUUUUAGAUCUAUUUACCCAUUCCUUUCUCAUCCUUCAAGUAUCUAAAUUCAUCCAUUUCCCCCAGUCCAGGUCUCAACAUGUAUACCUAUCUCCCUCUCUGAGGUACCCUCAUAACUAUUUCUUUUUUGAUGUGUCUCCUCAGUAUUACUUCUCCCUGUGCUCCUCCAUUCAGUCAUCUUACACCACAUACUUCUUGCCAUUCAUGUGUUCCUUCUCAAUGACAUUUGACAGUCACUCAAUGUAUCAGAGUUUGGGUCUCUCCAUUCAUUCCUUUCUGUCUGCCAUUUCACUCAUCAUCAUCCUCUCAUUUUCCUACUCCACGCUCCUCUCUGUACUUCUUUUCAUCCAUUCAAUUCUGAUCCCCCACUAUAUACCCACCAGCAUAUACAAUUUCUCUAUAUAUACUUGUUGCACUUGUUCCCUUCCAUCUCUCUGGGAUUUCUCUCAUACUCAGGGUUCCUAGGAUACAAUCAUGACUCAUACUUCUCUUGAUUUAGCCUCUGCUUCCUGAGCUUAUCCCUCCUAGUAUUGUUUAUUAAAUCUUCAGCAUCUUCAUCUUCUCACAGGCUCAGCUAUCUCUAUGUUUCCACCUUCUCUACUUUACUUUUUGGGCUUUCCAACUCACUUCAUUGUAUCCUGAUUUGCAGCUAUAAACCUUUCAUUCAGUACAUCUCCAUUUCCAUAUAACUCUCAUUCCCUUUGCUUCUUUCCUCAUUUAUCCAACUCUUUUAGCCUUGGGUCCUCUUCUACCAGUAGCUUGGUUUUUCCUACCUGAGUAUCAAUGCAGUCUAUCUCGUUCAGUCUUCAGAUCCAUUGUGUUCCCCUGCUGAUCUCGUUUUCUAAAACUUAGAUCACUCUGUUGACUUUUCCUCUCAUUCAUUUCUCCUUCCCUCACUGUCCCUCUCCAAAUAUUUCUCUUUCAUUCAAUCUCACCAGUCAUUCUUCCAUUCUUUUGUGCUCAAAUUCAGUCAUUUCUCCUUACACACCUCUUACCAUUCACUCCUUUUUCUUAUUGAAUUUGACUAUUCCUUCAAGUAUCAGAGGUUGGGUCUCUUCUUUCACUCCUGUCUUUCUGGUCUCUGUGUGUCACAUUCUCACAUUCACCCCAUCAGGAUUUCUCAUUCCACUCUUUUUCUCUUUAGUCUCUCAACUCUCAUUGUCUUAAACGUUCAUACAAGCAAUCUCCCAUUUUCUCACACAUUUUCUUUUUUCACAGUGGCCCGGCCUCUUCUGUAUUCAUUCAUGCUCUAUUAGUACUAGACCUAAACUCUUCUCUGCCCCUCUACAACUCGAUGAUCCCUUGACCACACAAACGUGUAAUUUCUCCUUUCAUACACUGGUCACACUCUAGCUCACUAGAUUUAGCCGCAUAGCCCACAGGGAGCAGCCUUGCUUCUCCACAUCAUGCACAUUCAGUCCAUCACUUCUCUCAUCCUUCACUCCUUCAGGUAGAUUUUGCAAACAGGCAAUCAUCACUUUCACUCUUCCCCAUUUUCUUGCAUGUCCCACAAUGGCUCUUUUGCAGCAUAGCAUAUUUGACUCUCACCAUCUCACCAUUCAGCCGUUCAUCUACAUAUCCUUCAUAGCUAAGGCUCGUGCUUUUAAACACACACACUGCACACUUGUUUCCAGCCAAAUAUCUCUGUUGUGCGUACAGGGCUAUUUCCACACCAUCACCCACUCUCUUGCUCUCUCUUUCCAUACCCUGCUCACUCUUUUUGUGUCUCUCUCCAUCCAUGUCUUAUUUCUCACUUUCUCCUGUCAGAUCCCUCUCAUUGUCUAGGUCUCUUGUGCCUUUGUUUUCUGUCUCUGACUUUUAGACCUUCAGGUUUCUCAGUGAAUUUUAUAUCUCCUUACCCAUUCCUUUCCCAUCCUUCAAGUAUCUAAAUUCAUCCAUUUUCCCCAGUCAAGUCUCAACACAUAUACUUAUCUCCCUCUCUCACUCACUGUGGCUAACUCUUUCUCUUUGCAUGUGGCUCCUCACUUUUGCUUCUCCUCCCUGUGCUCCUCCCUUCAGCCAUCUCACACCACAUACUUCUUGCCAUUCAUGUGUUCCUUCUCAAUGAUAUUUGACAGUCACUAAAUGUAUCAGAGUUUGGGUCUCUCCAUUCAUUCCUUUCUGUCUGCCAUUUGGUCACUCAUCAUCAUCCUCUCAUUUUCCUACUCCAUGCUCCUCUCUGUACUUCUUUUCAUCCAUUCAAUUCUGAUCCCCCACUAUAUACCCACCAGCAUAUACAAUUUCUCUAUAUAUACUUGUUGCACUUGUUCCCUUCCAUCUCUCUGGGAUUUCUCUCAUACUCAGGGUUCCUAGGAUACAAUCAUGUCUCAUACUUCUCUUGAUUUAGCCUCUGCUUCCUGAGCUUAUCCCUCCUAGUAUUGUUUAUUAAAUCUUCAGCAUCUUCAUCUUCUCACAGGCUCAGCUAUCUCUAUGUUUCCACCUUCUCUACUUUACUUUUUGGGCUUUCCAACUCACUUCAUUGUAUCCUGAUUUGCAGCUAUAAACCUUUCAUUCAGUACAUCUCCAUUUCCAUAUAACUCUCAUUCCCUUUGCCUCUUUCCUCAUUUAUCCAACUCUUUCAGCCUUGGGUCCUCUUCUACCAGUAGCUUGGUUUUUCCUACCUGAGUAUCAAUGCAGUCUAUCUCGUUCAGUCUUCAGAUCCAUAAUGUUCCCCUGCUGAUCUCGUUUUCUAAAACUUAGAUCACUCUGUUGACUUUUCCUCUCAUUCAUUUCUCCUUCCCUCACUGUCCCUCUCCAAAUAUUUCUCUUUCAUUCAAUCUCACCAGUCAUUCUUCCAUUCUUUUGUGCUCAAAUUCAGUCAUUUCUCCUUACACACCUCUUACCAUUCACGCCUUUUUCUUAUUGAAUUUGACUAUUCCUUCAAGUAUCAGAGGUUGGGUCUCUUCUUUCACUCCUGUCUUUCUGGUCUCUGUGUGUCACAUUCUCACAUUCACCCCAUCAGGAUUUCUCAUUCCACUCUUUUUCUCUUUAGUCACUCAACUCUCAUUGUCUUAAACGUUCAUACAAGCAAUCUCCCAUUUUCUCACACAUUUUCUUUUUUCACAGUGGCCCGGCCUCUUCUGUAUUCAUUCAUGCUCUAUUAGUACUAGACCUAAACUCUUCUCUGCCCCUCUACAACUCGAUGAUCCCUUGACCACACAAACGUGUAAUUUCUCCUUUCAUACACUGGUCACACUCUAGCUCACUAGAUUUAGCCGCAUAGCCCACAGGGAGCAGCCUUGCUUCUCCACAUCAUGCACAUUCAGUCCAUCACUUCUCUCAUCCUUCACUCCUUCAGGUAGAUUUUGCAAACAGGCAAUCAUCACUUUCACUCUUCCCCAUUUUCUUGCAUGUCCCACAAUGGCUCUUUUGCAGCAUAGCAUAUUUGACUCUCACCAUCUCACCAUUCAGCCGUUCACCUACAUAUCCUUCAUAGCUAAGGCUCGUGCUUUUAAACACACACACUGCACACUUGUUUCCAGCCAAAUAUCUCUGUUGUGCGUACAGGGCUAUUUCCACACCAUCACCCACUCUCUUGCUCUCUCUUUCCAUACCCUGCUCACUCUUUUUGUGUCUCUCUCCAUCCAUGUCUUAUUUCUCACUUUCUCCUGUCAGAUCCCUCUCAUUGUCUAGGUCUCUUGUGCCUUUGUUUUCUGUCUCUGACUUUUAGACCUUCAGGUUUCUCAGUGAGUUUUAGAUCUCUUUACCCAUUCCUUUCUCAUCCUUCAAGUAUCUAAAUUCAUCCAUUUCCCCCAGUCCAGGUCUCAACAUGUAUACCUAUCUCCCUCUCUGAGGUACCCUCAUAACUAUUUCUUUUUUAAUUUGUCUCCUCAGUAUUACUUCUCCCUGUGCUCCUCCAUUCAGUCAUCUUACACCACAUACUUCUUGCCAUUCAUGCAUUCCUUCUCAAAAAGAUUUGACAGUCACUCAUGUAUCAGAGUUUGGGUCUCUCCAUUCAUUCCUUUCUGUCUGCCAUUUGGUCACCCAUCAUCUUCCUCUCAUUUUUCUAUUCCACGCUCCUCUCCGUACUUCUUUUCAUCCAUUCAAUUCUGACCUCAAUUAUUAUACCUGCCCAAUAUAUACAAUUUCUGCAUGUAUACUUAUCCUACUUGUUCCCUUCUAUCUCUCUUGGCUUUCUCUUAUACUCAUUGAUUUUUCCUAGGACACAAUCAUGUCUUAUACUGCUCUACAUUCACCUUCCUCUCCUUGAGGUUAUCCCUCCUAAUUCUGUUUGUUUAAUCUUCAGCAGCAGCAUCUUCUCACUGGCUUAGCUAUCUCUAUGUCUCCAUCUUCUCUACUUUCCUUUUUGGGCUUUCCAACCUACUUCAUUGUGUCAUGAUCUGCAGCUACAAAUCUUCCAUUCAAUACAUCUCUAUUUUCAUAUAUCUCUCACUUUUCUGCUCUUUCUAUGCAUUGUUAAAUUUCCCUCUUUCCCCUUCAUCGUAUUAUUUCAGUUCUGGCUAUUCUCCUAACAUCUUGCCUUUUCCUACUUGAAUAUCCUUUAUUCUAAGUAUUCAUUGGCCUCCCCUGCAGGUAUAUCUCAUUUUCUACACCUUUGACUCUGUUAACUUGUCUUCCCACUUAUUUCCCCUUCUCUCUGUUGUUCUCCCAGUGUUUCUCUUUCAUUCAAUCUGACCAGUCAUUCUUCCUUUCUUUCAUGCUCCCCCAUUCAGUCAUCUCACAUUGCAUUCCUUACUCCAUUCAUCCUUGUGUCUUAUUGGAACUUGACUGUCCCCUCAAGUAUCAGAGGUUGGGUCUCUCCUUUCACUCCUCUCUUUGUGGUCUCUGGGUCUCACAUUCUCACCUUCGCCCCAUCUGGAUUUCUCAAUCCAUUCUCCUCUCUCUUUCUCUUUAGCCACUCAUCUCUCAUCUUCUGUAUAUAGCCAGUUAUCCAUCACAAACAGUUAACCUUCCUCCACACAUAAAAGUCCCAUUCAUCAUCUUAUUUCACAUAAGUUUGUCACUCUCUAGUUUUAUUUCUAGCAGCCAGAUCUCACUAGUCCCUAUCCACAUGCACCUGUCUCUACCUCAGUGCUUCCCUAGAGCCACUCUAUGUCCUUGUCCUCUGAAAUCUUGGCUUUAGCCCUUUGGUUAGCAGCUCAUCCUUUAUUACUUCCCAUUUUGCUUUCUCCCUUUGUUAAAUUGACAGAAAUCUCUGCCCAGGCAUCUCUCACUCCAGAGCAUUUCCAUCCUCACAUUUCUCACUUGCUUGACCUUUCAUACCAACAAUCUCACAUUUUCUCACACAUUUAAUUUUUUUCACAGUGGCCCGGCCUCUUCUGUAUUCAUUCAUGCUCUAUUAGUACUAGACCUAAAUCACUGUCUGCCCUUUUGCAGCUCGAUGAUCCCUUGAUCACACAAACCUGGAGUUUCUCCUUUCAUACAUCGGUCACACGCUAGCUCACUAGAUGUAGCCACAUAGCCCACAGGGAGCAGUGUUGUUUCUCCACAUCAUGCCCAUUCAGUCCAUCACUUCUCUCAUCCUUCACUUCUUCAGGUAGAUUUUGCAAACAGCCAAUCAUCACUUUCACUCUGUACUAUUUUCUUGCAUGUUCUCCAGUGGUUCUUUAGCAGCAUAGAAUACUUGACUCUUGCUACCUUUCUUUUCCUCCUUUCAAGGUUUUGAUAUUUUUUCAGGAAUUCAUCCUUCAUGGCUAUGGCUUUUGCUUUCACACAAAGUUAAUGCAAAAUAGAUAUUUCCAAACAAGUGUCUCUUAUAUAUGUCUCUCAGUACAUCACUCACUCUGUGCUCUCUCUUUUGAUACAGUGCUCAUUCGUUUUGUGUCUCCAUCCAUCCAUCUAAUUUUUCACUGUCUCCAUUCAGAACCUUCUCCCUCACUGUCUUGAUCUCUUUCAUUUGUGUUCUGUCUCAAGUGUCUAAAUUCAUUCAUUUCCCACAGCCUAGUUCUCAGCAUGGACUCCUUUUUCCCUCUCUCAGGCACCCUAGUAACUAUUUCUCUUUUUGGAUGUGGCUGCUCAGUUUUGCUUCUCAUCCUUGUGCUCCACAGUUCAGCCAUCUCACACUGCAUCCUUCUUGCCAUUCAUGCAUUCCUUCUCAUUGACAUUUAACAGUCAUUCAUAUCAGAGUUUGGGUCUCUCCAUUCAUUCUUUUAUUCUGCCAUUCAGUCACCCAUCCUCAUCCUCUCACUCUCUCAUGUUCUCACUCCACUCUCCUCUCCCAGCUUCUCUUCAUCCAUUCAGUGUUGACAUCCCAAAGUGUCCAUUCAUCUCUCAAUAUCUGUAUGCAUUCAUAUCCCACUUGUUCCCUUCCAUCAUUCUGGGCCUUCUCUUUUGCUCUCUCUCAAGAGUUUUUCCUAGGAUACAAUCAUUUCUCAUAUGACUCUUUAUUCAGACUCUUCUCUCUGAGCUUUCCCUCCUUUUUUUAAAAUUGGAUCUUGACUUCUCGUAGCCUUGGCUAUCUAUUUUAUCCACUUUCCAUAUUUUAGUUCUUCGGCUUUCUGGCCCACCUUCCUGUCUCACAAUCUUCAGGUACAAAUCUUUCAUUCAGUACAUCUCCAUUUCCAUAUAACUAUUCUCACUCCCUUUGCUCUUUCCCCAUUUAUCCAACUCUUUCAGUCUUGGGUCCUCUUCUACUAGUAGCUUGCGUUUCCCUACCUGAAUAACAACAAAAUCUACCUGAUUCAGUCUUCAGAUCCAUUAUGUUCCCCUGCUGAUGUAUCUUUUUCUAAACCUUUCACUCUGCUGCCUUGUCAUCCCAUUCAUUUCUCCUUCCCUCACUGUCCCUUUCCAAAUCUUUUUCAUUCAAUCUCACCAGUCAUUCUUCCUUUCUUUGGUGCUUUCAAAUUCAAUCAUUUCUCCUUGCACGCCUCUUAUCAUUCAUUCCUUUUUCUUAUUGAAUUUGACUAUUCCUUCAAGUAUCAGAGGUUGGGUCUCUCCUUUCAUUCCUGUCUUUCUAGUCUCUGUGUGUCACAUUCUCACAUUCACUGCAUCUGGAUUUCUCACUCUACUUUUCUCUCUCUUUCUCUUUAGUCACUCAACUCUCAUUGUCUUAAACUUUCAUACCAACAAUCUCACAUUUUCUCACUCAUUUUCUUGUUUUCACAGUGUAAAAAAACGUUCAUCCAUCUCACACCACAUACUCCUUGCCAUUCAUCCAUUCCUUCUAAUUGAGAUUUGACAGUCACUCAUGAUCAGAGUUUGGGUCUCUCCAUUCAUUCUUUUAUUCUGCCAUUCAGUCACCCAACAUCAUCAUCUCACUCUCUUAUUUUCUCACUCAUUUUUUUUUCACAAUGGCCCGGCCUCUUCUGUAUUCAUACAUACUCUAUUAGUACUAGACCUAAACUCUUCUCUGCCCUUCUACAGCUCAAUGACCCCUUGACCACACAAACAUGAAGUUUCUCUUUUCAUACACUGGACACAACUGAGCUUGCUAGAUUUAGCCACACAGCCUCCAGGGGACAGCUUUGUCUCUUCACACCAUGUUCAUUCAGUACAUCCCUUCUCUCAUCCUUCACUCCUCCUUCACUCCUUCAAGCAGAUUUUGCAAACAGCCAAUUAUCACUUCCACUCUUCACCAUUUACAUACAUGUUCUCCAAUGGCUCUUUAGCAGCGAGGUAAACUUGACUCUCACCCCUCUCACCUUUCAUCCUUUCAUGGUUUUGAAAUUUUGCAGCUGAUCAUCCUUCAUGGCUUUGGUUCCUGCUUUCACAUACACACUACCACAUACAGAUAUUUCCACCCAAGUAUCUCUUACUUGCGUACAAGUCUCUUUCAAUACAUUACACUCAUUUGCUCUCUCUUUUCAUACACUGCUCAUUCUUUUUGUGUCUCUCUCCAUCCAUCUCUUUUUUCUCACUGUCUCCAUUCAGACCCCUUUAAAUUUCUAGGUUUAUCUUCCUUUUUCCUUUCUCUCUGAGUUUUAGACAUGCAUGGUUCGCUGUUCUUUAUAUCUCUUUUCCUAUUCUUUGCAUAUCUCUCAAGUGUCUAAAUUCAUCCAUUUCCCAUAGUCUAGGCAUCAACCUGCAUUCCUGUCUCCCUCUCUCACUCACUGUGCCUAACUCUCUUUGGAUGUGACUCCUCAGUUUUGCUUCUCCUUCCUGUGCUCCUCAAUUCAGCCAUCCCUCACUGCAUACACUGCCAUUCAUGCAUUCCUUCUCACUGAGAUUUGACAAUCACUCGUGUAUCAGAGUUUGGGUCUCUCCAAUCAUUCUUGGUUCUGCCAUUCAAUCACCCAUACUCAUCCUUUCACUCUCAUUUGCUCACUGCACUCUCCUCUCCCAACUUCUCCAUCCAUUCAAUUUUGACCUCCCAGUAUAUCCAUUCAUCCCCAAAUUUUUCACUCUUUUUGUUUUCACAGUGGCCCGGCCUCUUCUGUAUUCAUUCAUGCUCUGUUAGUACUAGACAUAAACUCUUCUCUGCCCCCCUGUAACUCCAUGACCCCAUUGACCACACAAACAUGGAGUUUCUCCUUUCAUACAUUGGUCACACGCUAGCUCACUAGAUUUAGCCACAUAGCCCACAGGGAGCAGUGUUGUUUUUCCACAUCAUGCCCAUUCAGUCCAUCACCUCUCUCAUCCUUCACUCCUUCAGGUAGAGUUGGAAACAUCCAAUCAUCACUUUUAUUCUUCACCAUUUCCUUGUAAGUUCUUCAAUGGCUUUUUAGCAGUGUGGUAAACUUGACUCUCACCCUCUCACCUUGCAUCGUUUUCAUUGUUUUCCUGUUUUUCAGCUAUUCAUCCUUCAUAGUUAUGGCUUCUGCUUCCACACACACACACUGAAAAGCACACUUAUUUCCAGCCAAAUAUCUUUUCUGUGCGUGACAGGGCUAUUUCCAUACAUCACACACUCUCUUGCUGUCUCUUUCCACAUAUUGCUCACUCUUUUGGUGUCUCUCUCCAUCCAUGUUUUAUUUCUCACUCUCUCCAUUUGGAUCUCUCUCACUGUCUAGGUCUCUCAUGCCUUUGUUUUCUGUCUCUGAGUUCUAGACAUUCUGGUUUCUCAGCUGCUUAUAACUCUUUAUUCAUUCCUAUCACAUCAUUUGAGUGUCUAUUUCAUCCAUUUCCCCCAGUCUAGGUCUCAAUAUGGAUUCCUUUCUCCCUCUCUCAGUCACUGUGGCUAUUACUCUUUGCAUGUGUCUCCUCAGUUCUGCUUCUCCUCCCUGUGCUCCUCAAUUCAGCCAUCUCUCACCACAAAUUUCUUGCCAUUCAUGCAUUCCUUCUCAAUAAGAUUUAACAGUCAUUCAUGUAUCAGAGUUUGGGUCUCUCCAUCCAUUCUUUUAUGUCUGACAUUCGGUCACCCAUCUUCAUCCUCUCACUCUCAUUUUCCCUCUCCUUUUCUUACUCUCCUCUCCUCUUCCUAAUUCUCUUCAUCCAUUCAAUUCUCUCCUCCCAGUAUAUCCAUUCAUCCCUCAAUUUCUGUAUAAUACUUGUCCUACUUGUUCCCUUAAUCUGUCUAGACCUUCUCUCUCCCUCAGGGAUUUUCCCUAGGACAAGGUCAGUUCUCAUACUGUAUUGAUUCAGCUUCCUCUCCCUGAGCUUAUCCGUGCUAGUAUUGUUUAUUAAAUCUUCACCAUUUUCAUUUUCUCAUAGGCUCAGUUAUCUCUAUUUUUCCACAUUCUCUACUUCUUUGGCUUUCCAAACCACUUAACUGUGUCAUGAUCUGCAACAACAAAUCUUUCAUUGAGUACAUCUCUAUUAUCAUCUAUCUCUUGCUCACUUUCCAGCUCUGUCCAUCUAGUGUUAUCUUUCCCUCUUUCCACCUUCAUUGUAUUCUUUGAGUUCUGGCUCCUCUUUUCCUACUAUCUUGCCUUUUACUUCCUGAAUAUUGGAAUCAUCUAUCUCUUUUAUUCUAAGUAUUCAUUGGGCUCCUGUGCAGAAAUAUCUCCUUUUCUAUACUUUUGACUUUGUUAACUUGUUUAUCCAUUUAUUUCCCCUUCUCUGUGUUCUUCUCCAAAUGUUUCUCUUUCAUCCAAUCUCACUAAUCAUACUUUUUCUUUGCUGCUCCCCCAUUCAGUCACCUCACAUUGCCUUCUCUUUCCACUCACCCUUUUUCUUAUUGGAAUUUGACUGUCUCCUCAAGUAUCAGAGGUUGGGUCUCUCCUUUCACUCCUCUCUUUAUGGUCUCUGGGUCUCACAUUCUCACCUUUACCCCAUCUGGAUUUCUCAAUCCAUUCUCCUCUCUCUCUCUCUUUAGCCACUUAUCUCUCAUCUUCUGUAUAUAGCCAGUUAUUUAUCACAUACAGUUAACCGUGCUCUACACAUACAAAGGCCAACAUCUUAUUUCAUACAAGUGUCUCACUCUCCAGUGUUAUUUCUAGCAGCCAGAUCUCACCAGUCCCUAUCCACAUGCAUCUGUCUCUACCUCGGUGGUUCCUUAGAGCCACUCUAUCUCCUUGUCCUCUGAAAUCUUGGCUUUAGCCCUUUGCUUAGCAGCUCAUCCUUUAUUACUUCCCAUUUUGCUUUCUCCCUUUGUUAAAUUGACAGAAAUCUCUGCCCAGGCAUCUCUCACUCCAGAGCAUUUCCAUCCUCACAUUUCUCACUUCCUUGACCUUUUGUACCAACAAUCUCACAUUUUCUCAUACAUUUUAUUUUUUUUUCACAGUGGCCCGGCCUCUUCUGUAUUCAUUCAUGCUCUAUUAGUACUAGACUUAAAUCACUGUCUGCCCUUCUGCAGCUCAAUGAUCCCUUGACCACACAAACCUGGAGUUUCUCCUUUCAUACAUCGGUCACAUGCUAGCUCACUAGAUGUAGCCGCAUAGCCCACAGGGAGCAGUGUUGUUUCUCCACAUCAUGCCCAUUCAGUCCAUCACUUCUCUCAUCCUUCAAUCCUUCAGGCAGAGUUUGCAAACAAGCAAUCAUCACUUUCACUUUUUACCAUUUACUUGCACAUUCUCCAAUGGCUCUUUUGCAGCGAAGCAUAUUUGACACUCACCCUCUCAUCUUUCAUCCUUUCACGGUUUAGAUAUUUUUUUCAGGAAUCCAUCCUUCAUUACUAUGGCUUCUGCUUUCACACACACUCAAUGCAAAAUAGAUAUUUCCAAACAAGUGUCUCAUAUAAAUAUAUAUAUAUAUCUUUCAGUACAUCAUUCACUCUGUGCUCUCUCUUUUGAUACAGUGCUCAUUCUUUCUGUGUCUCCAUCGAUCCAUCUCUCAUUUUUCACUGUCUCCAUUCAGAACCCUCUCCCUCACUGUCUUAAUCUCUUUCCUUUGUUUUCUGUCUCAUGUGUCUAAAUUCAUCCAUUUUCCACAGUAUACAUCUCAUCACGUAUUCCUUUCUCUCUGUCUCAGGAACCCUAGUAACUGUUUCUCCUUGGAUUUGGCUCCUCAGUUUUACUUCUCCUCCUUGUGCUCCUCACUUCAAACAUCCCACACUACAUCCUUCCUGCUAUCCAUGCGUUCUUUCUCAUUGAGAUUUGACAGUCAUUCAUUUAUCAGAGUUUGGGUCUCUCCAUUCAUUCUUUGGUCCUACCAUUCAGUCACCCAUCCUCUUCUUCUCACUCUCUCAUGUUCUCACUCCACUCUCCUCUCCCAACUUCUCUUCAUCCAUUGAAUUUCAACACCCCAGGAUAUCCAUUCAUCCCUCAAUAUCUAUAUGCAUACAUGUCCCACUUGUUCCCUUCUAUCAGUCAGGGCCUUCUUUCUCUCUCUCUCUCUCUCUCUCUCUCUCUCUCUAGGGUUUUCCCUUAGGAUACAAUCAUUUCUCAUAUGGCUGUUGAUUCAGGUUCUUCUCUCUGAGCUUUCCCUGCUCCUUUUUUUUGUAACAUCUUGACCUUUUUGCAGCCUCAGCUAUCUCUAUUUUCUCCACCUUCCAUUCUUUAUUUCAUAGGCUUUCCAGCGCACCUUUCUGUCUCACAAUUGUCACCUAUAAACCUUUCAGUAUAUCCCCUUUUUCAUAUAACUCUCACUCCCUUUGUCUCUUUUCCCAUUUAUCCAACUCUUUCAGUCUUGGGUCCUCUUCUAGUAGCUUGCAUUUCCCUACCUGAAUAACAACAAAAUCUACCUGGUUCAGUCUUCAAAUCCAUUAUGUUCCCCUGCUGAUGUAUCUUUUGCUAAAUUUUUCACUCUAUUGAUUUGUCUUCCCAUUCAUUUCUCCUUCUCUGUGUUCUCCCAAUGUUUCUCUUUCAUUCAAUUUCACCAGUCAUUGUUCCUUUCUUUCGUGCUCCCCCAUUCAGUCACCUCACAUUGCCUUCUCUUUCCACUCACCCUUUUUCUUAUUGGAACUUGACUGUCCCCUCAAGUAUCAGAGGUUGGGUCUCUCCUUUCACUCCUCUCUUUAUGGUCUCUGGGUCUCACAUUUUCACCUUCGCCCAUCUGGAUUUCUCAGUCCAUUCUCCUCUCUCUCUCUUUAGCCACUCACCUUUCAUCGUCUGUAUAUAGCCAGUUAUCCAUCACACACAGUUAACCUUACUCUACACAUACAAGGCCCAACAUCUUAUUGAAUACAGGUUUUUGACUCUCCAGUGAUAUUUGUAGCAGCCAGAUGUCACUAGUCCCUAUCCACAUGUUCUUGUCUCUACCUCAGUGGUUCCCUAGAGCCACUCUAUCUGCUUGUCUUCUAAAUUCUUUGCUUUCUCCCUUUGCUCAGCAGCCCAUCCUUGAUUGUUAACCAUUCUGCUUUCUCAUUUUGGUGUAUUGACCAAUAUCUUUAUACAGGCACCUCUCACUCCAGAACAUUUCCACCUUCACACAUCUCACUUUUGACCUUUUGUACCAGCACCUUCACAUUUUCUCACUCUUUGUUUUUCACAGUGGCCCGGCCUCUUCUGUAUUCAUUCAUGCUCUAUUAGUAUUAGACCUAAACUCUUCUCUGCUUCCCCUGUAGCCCAAUGAUCCCUUGACCACACAAACCUGAAUUUUUCCUUUCCUACAUUGGUCACAGUCAAGCUCACUAGAUUUAGCCGCGCAUCCCCCAGGGGAAAGCUUUUUUUCUCUUCACACCAUGCUCAUUCAGUCCAUCACUUCUCUCAUCCUUUACUCCUUCAUGCAGAUUUUCUGAACAGCCAAUCAUCGCUUUCACUCUACACCAUUUAUUGCAUGGUCUCCAAUGGUUCUUUUGCAGCAGAGCAUUUUUGGCUCUCACCCUCUCACCUUUCAUCCUUUCAUAAUUUUUUUGUUUGUCAGCUAUUCAUCCUGCAUGUUUUGGGCUUCUGCUUUCACAUACACACUGCAAAGUACAGGUAUUUCCAACCAGAAUUUCUUACUUGCAUACAGAUCUCUUUCAAUCCAUUACAUACUCUCUUUCUCCAUUAAUACAUUAUUCAAUCCCUUGCUCUCUGUUUCCACAUACUGCUCACUCUUUUGGUUUCUCUCUCCAUCCAUCUCUUAAUUCAUACUUUCUCCACUUGGAAACCCUACAAAGUCUAGGUCUCUGUUUCCUUUAUUUUCUGCCUCUGACUUUUAGCCAUUCAGGUUUCUCAGCUCCUUAUACCUCUUUUCCCAUUCAUUUCACAUCACUCAAGUAUCUAAAUUCCUCCAUUUUCCACAGUCUAGGUCUCAACACAUGUUCCUUUCUACUUCUUUCAGGGACCCUAAAACUCUUUCUUUUUGGAUGUGGCUGCUCAGUUUUGCUUCUCCUCCCUGUGCUCCUCAGUUCAGCCAUUUUACACUGCAUCCUUCCUGCCAUUCAUGCAUUCCUUCUCAUUGAGAUUUAACAGUCACUCAUUAUCAGAGUUUGGGUCUCUGCAUUCAUUCUUUCAUUCUGCCCUUCAGUCACCCAUCCUCAUCCUCUCACUCUCUCAUUUUCUCACUCCACCCUCCGCUCCCAACUUCUCUUCAUCCAUUCAAUGUUGACAUCCCAAAGUAUCCAUUCAUCUCUCAAUAUCUGUACACAUACAUGUCCCACUUGUUCCCUUCCAUCAGUCUAGGCCUUGUCUCUGCCUCAGGGACUUUUCCUAGGGCACAGUCAUCUCUCAUCCUGCUCUUCAUUCAGCUUCCUAUCCCUGAGCCUUUCCUUCUUAGUUUUGAUUGUUGAAUGUUCAGCAUCUAGACCUUUUCACAGUCCCUGUAAUCUCUAUUUUCUCCACCUUCCCCAGUUGAAUUCUUGGGCUUUCCUACUCAUCUCACUGUCUCAUGAUCUGCAGCUACAAAUCUUACAUUCAAUAUUUCUCCAUUUCUAGAUAUCUCUUACUCACUUGCUAUCUAGUGUUAACUUUCCAUCUUUCUCUAUUCAUUUAACUCUUGGGUUUUCUUCUAAUAGUGUCUUGACUUUUACUUCCUAUAUAUCACUACAAUCUACCUCCUCUAUUCUAAUUAUCCAUUGGGCUCCCCUGCAGGUAUAUCUCCUUUUCUACACCUUUCACACUGUCAACUUCUCUUCCCAUUCAAUUCCCCUUCUCUGUGUUCUUCUCCCCAUGUUUCUCUUUCAUUCAAUCUCACAGAUCAUUCUACUUUCUUUCAUGCUCCCCCAUUCAGUCAUCUCACAUUGCAUUCCUCGUUCCAUUCAUCUUUCUUUCUUAUUGGAACUUGACUGUUCCCUCAAGUAUCAGAAGUUGGGUCUCUCCUCUCACCCUUUUCUUUUGGCCUUUGUGUCUUACAUUCUCACUUUUAGCCCAUCUGGAUUUCUUACUCUACUUUCCCCUCUCAUUCUCUUUAGCCGCUCAUCUCUCAUGUUCUUCAUAUGGCCAAUUAUCCAACACUCAGAGUUGCCCUUGCUCUACACAUUCAAGUCCCUUAUUUCACAAAGGUGUCUGACUCUCCAGUGAUAUUUGUACCAGCCACAUCUCGCUAGUCUUUAUCAAUAUGUCCCUGUGUCUACCUUGUUGGUUCCCUAGAGCCACUCUAUCUUCUUGUCUUCUGAAAUCUUGGCUUUUUCCCUUUGUUCAGCAGCCCGUCCUUGAUUGUUUCCCAUUCUGUUUUCUCACUUCGGUGUUUUGACAGAUAUCUUAUCCAGGCACCUCUCACUCCAGAGCAUUUCCACCUUUACACAUCUCACACUCUUAACCUUUCAUACCAGCAAUAUUACAUUUUCUCACUCUAAUUUUUCACAGUGGCCCGGCCUCUUCUGUAUUCAUUCAUGCUCUAUUAUGACUAGACCUAAACUCUUCUCUGCCCCCUAUAGCUCAAUGAUCCCUUAAUCACACCAACCUGGAAUUUCUCACUUCAUUAAUACAUACAUAUAUACAUACAUACAUACAUACAUACAUAUAAUUGAGCUUCCUAGAUUUAGCCGUAGAACCCCCAGGAGACAGCUUUGUCUCUCCACACCAUGCUCAUUCAGUCCAUCACUUCUCUCAUCCUUCAGGUAGAUUUUGCAAACAGCCAAUCAUCACUUUCGGUUUUCAUCAUUUACUUGCACAUUCUCCAAUGGCUCUUUUGCAGUGAAGCAUAUUCGACACUCACCCUCUCAUCUUUCAUCCUUUCAUGGUUUUGUUGUUUGUCAACUAUUCAUCCUGCAUGGCUUAGGCUUCUGUUUUCACACACAUACUACAAAGCAGGGCAGUUAUUUCCAUCCAAGAAUCUCUUACUUGUGUAGAGGUCUCUUUCACUUUAUUACACACUCUCUUGCUCUCUCCAUCCAUACAUUAUUCAAUCUCUUGCUCUCUCUUUCUAUUCAUGGCUCAUUCUCUUGGUGUCUCCCUCCAUCCAUUUCUUAUUUCUCCAGUCAGAUCCCUCUCACUAUGUAAGUCUCUCUUGCCUUUGUUUUCUCUCUCUGACUUAGACAUUCAGGUUUCUCACUUCUUAUAUGUCUUUAUUCAUUCCUUUCAUAUCACUCAAGUGUCUAAAUACAUCCAUAUCCCAUAGUCUAGCCUUCAACAUGUAUUCCUUUCUCCAUCUCUCAAGUAAUAGUUACUAAACUAUUUCCCUUUGCAUGUGGCUCCUCAGUUUUACUUCUCCUCCCUGUGCUUCUCAAUUCAGCCACCUCACACCACAUACUUCUUGUCAUUCAUGCAUUGCUUCUCAUUGAGACUUGACAAUCAUUCAUGUAUCAGAGUUUGGGUCUCUCCAUUCAUUCUUUCAUCCUGCCAUUCAGACACCCAUCCUCAUCCUCUCACUCUCAUUUUCUCACUCCAUUCUCCUUUCCCAAUUUCUCUUCAUCCAUUCAAUGUCGACACCCCAGGAUACUCUCAUCUCUCAUUAUCUGUAUACAUACAUGUCCCACUUGUUCUCUUUAUCUGUCUUGGCCUUUUCUCUCCCUCAGGGAUUUUUCCUAUGACUCAGUUAUCUCUCAUACAUCUCUUGACAUUUCCUCUCCCUAAGCCUUAUAAUCUCUGUUUUCUCCACCUUCCUCACAUCCCUUCUUCGUCUUUUGAAUACUCCUCACUACCUCACGAUCUGCAGCUACAAAUCUUAGAUUCAAUACAUCUCCAUUUCUAGAUCUCUUACUCACUUGCUAGCCAGUGUUAACUUUGCCUCUUUCUCCAUUCAUUUAACUCUUGGGUUCUCUUCUAAUAAUAUCUUGACAUUUACAACCUGUAUAUCACCACAAUAUAUCUCCUUUACUCUAAAUAUCCAUUGGGUUCUCCUUUUCUAGACCUAUGAAUCUGAUGUGUUCCCAAUUAUUUCCCCUUCUUUCAGUGUUCAUUUCCAAACAUUUCUCCUACAUUAAAUCCCAUCAAUCAUUCUUUCUUCCUCUCCUGCUCCCCAAUUCAGUCAAGUCACAAUGCCUUCUCUUACUAUUCACCCUGUUCCCUUAUUGGCAUUUGACUAUCCCUUCAAGUAUCAGAGGUUGGGUCUCUCCUUUCACUCCUGUCUUGAUGGUAUCUCUGUGUCACAUUCUCACCUUCACCCAAUCUGGAUUUCUCAGUCCACUCUCUCUCUUUGGCCACUCAUCUCACAUGUUCUGGAUAUGGCCAAUUAUCCAUCGCUCAGAGUCACCCUUGCUCUAUGCACGCAAAUCCCAUUCAACAUUUUAUUUCACACAAGUGUCUGACUCUCCAGUGAUUUAUAGCAGUCAUAUCUCAUAACUCCCUAUCAACAUUUACCUAUCUCUACCUCGGUGUUUCCCUAGAGCCACUCUAUCCCCUUUUCUUCUGAAAUCUUGGCUUUCUCCUUUUCCUCAGCAGACUAUGCUUGAUUGUUUCCCAUUCUGCUUUCUCAUUUUGGUGUAUUGACAGAUAUCUUUACACAGGCACCUCUCACUCCAGAACAUUUACACCUUCACACGUCUCACACUCUUGACCUUUUGUACUGGGAAUCUCACAUUUUCUCAUUCCUUGUUUUUCACAGUGGCCCGGCCUCUUCUGUAUUCAUUCAUGCUGUUAGUACUAGACAUAAACUCUUCUCUGCCCCCCUAUAGCUCAAUGAUCCCUUGACCACACAAAUCUGGAGUUUCUCCUUUCAUAUAUCUGUCACAAUCGAGCUCUGAAGUUUUAGCCACACAGCCCCCAGGGGAAAGCUUUUUUUCUCUCCACACCAAGCUCAUUCAGCACAUCACUGCUCUCAUCCUUCACUCCUUCAGGCAGAUUUUGUAAACAGCCAAUCAUCACUUUACUCUUCACCAUUUACUUGCAUGUUCUCCAAUGGCUCUUUGCAGCAUAGCAUAUUUGACUCAUUCUCUCACCUUAUAUCCUUUCAUGGUUUUACUAUUUUUAAGCUAUUCAUCCUGCAUGGCUUAAGCUUCUGCUUUCACACUCACUGCAAAGCACUGUUAUUUCCAUCCAAGAAUAUUUAACUUGUACAUGGGUCUUGUUCAGUAGAUUAAACAUGCUCAUAAUCUCUCCAUCCGUACAUUACCCACUUUCUUGCUCUCACUUUCCAUACAUUAUGGACUCUCUUGCUCUUUCUUUCCAUACAUUGCUCACUCUUUUGGUAUCUCUCUCCAUCCAUCUCUUUUUUCACACUCUCCAGUUGGAUCCCUCUCGCUUUUUAGGUCUCUCUUCCUUUUGUUUUCGAUAUCUGACUUUUAGCCAUUCAUGGUUCCCAGCUUCUUAUACUCCUUUAUUCAUUCCUUUCACAUUACUCAAGUGUCUAAACUACUCUAUUUUCCACAAUCUAGCUCUCAACAUGAAUUCCUUGCUCCCUCUCUCAGGCAUCCUAGUAACUAUAUCUCUUUGAAUGUGCUCCUCAGUUUUGCUUCUCCUCCCUGUGCUUCUCACUCUCAUCUCAUACUGCAUCCUUUUUGCCAUUCAUACAUUGCUUUUCAUAGAGAUUUGACAGUCACUCAUUAUCAGAGUUUGGGUCUCUCCAUUCAUUCUUUCAUUCUGCCCUUCAGUCACCCAUCCUCAUCCUCUCACUCUCUCAUUUUCUCACUCCACUCUUCUCCCAAUUUUUCUUCAUCUAUUCAAUGGAUUCAACACCCCAAAAUAUCCAUUCAUCUCUCAAUAUCUGUACACAUACAUGUUCUACUUGUUCCCUUCAUCUGUCUGGGCCUUCUCUCUCCCUCAGGGACUUUUCCUAGGACACAGUCAGCUCUCAUACUGCUCUUCAUUCAGCUUUCUAUCACUGAACCUUUCUUUCCUAGUUUUGAUUGUUGAAUGUUGAGCAUCUAGACCUUUUCACUGUCCCUGUAAUCUCUAUUUUCUCCACCUUCCCCACUUGAUUUCUUGGGUUUUCCUACUCACCUCACUGUCUCACGAUCUGCAGCUACAAAUCUUACAUUCAAUAUGUCUCCAUUUCUAGAUAUCUCUUACUUGCUAUCCAGUAUUAACUUUGCCUCUUUCUCCAUUCAUUUAACUCUUGGGUUCUCUUCUAAUACUGUCUUGCUUUUACUACCUGUAUAUCACCACAAUCUACUUUCUUUACUCUAAGUAUCCAUUGGGUUCCCCUGUAGGUAUAUCUCCUUUUCUAGACCUUUCACACUGUCAACUUCUCUUCCCAUUCAUUUCCCCUUCUCUCUGUUCUUCUCUAAAUGUUUCUCUUUCAUCCAAUCUCACUGAUCAUUCUUUCUUCCUUUGCUGAUCCUCAAUUCUGUCAUUUCACAUUGCAUGACUUUUACCAUUCACCCUGUUCCCUUAUUGUAAUUUGAUUUUUUUCUUCAAUUAUCAGAGGUUGGGUCUCUCCUUUUACUCUUGUGUUUUGGCCUUUGUGUCUCACAUUCUCACCUUCACCCCAUCUGGAUUUCUCAGUUCAUUCUCCUCUCUCUCUUCAGCCACUCAUCUCUCAUCUUUAAUCUUACUCAUAAGGCCAAUUAUCCAUCUCUCAGAGUUGCCCUUGCUCUACACAUUCAAGUCCCAUUCAAGAUCUCAUUUCACACAAAUGUCUGACACUCAGGUGGUAUUUGUAGCAGCCAGGUCUCACUAGUCCCUAUCCACAUGUAUCUGUGUCUACCUCAGUGGUUCCCUGGAGCCACUCUAUCUCCUUGUCUUCUGAAAUCUUUGCUUUCUACCUUUGCUCAGCAGCCCAUCCUUUAUUAUUUCCCAUUCUGUUUUCUCACUUUGGUGUAUUGACAGCUAUCUUUACACAGGCACCUCUCACUCCAGAACAUUUCCACCUUCACAUGUCUCACACUUUUGAUCUUUUGUACCAGCAAUCUUAUAUUUUCUCACUCAUUCUUUUUUCACAGUAGCCCGGCCUCUUCUGUAUUCAUUCAUGUUCUAUGAGUACUAGACUAAACUCUUAUCUGCCCCCACCCCCCACCCCAUAGCCCACUGAUCCCUUGACCACACCUGGAGUUUCUCCUUUCAUACAUUGGUCACAGUCGAGCUCGCUAGAUUUAUCCGCGCAGUCCCCAGGGGAAAGCUUUAUUUUUCCACACCACACUCAUUCCAUACAUCACUUCUCUCAUCCUUCACUACUUCAGGUAGAUUUUCUAAACAGGCAAUCAUCACUUUCACUCUUCACCAUUUUCUUGCAUGUUCUCCAAUGGCUCUUUUGCAGCGUAGCAUAUUCGGUUCUCACCCUCUCACCUUUCAUCCUUUCACAGGUUUGAUAUUUUUAAGCUAUUCAUGCUUCAUGCUUAGGCUUCUGCUUUCACACACACAGCAAAGUACAAUUUUUUUUUCCCAGCGAAGUAUCUCUUUCUUGCAUAUGGGGCUCAUUCAAUACAUGACAUACUCUCUUGGUCUCUCUUCCCAUACAUUGCUCAUACUUCUGGUCUCUCUCCAACCAUCUCUUAUUUCUCACCAUCUCCAUUUAGACCUUUCUCACUGGCUAGGUUCAUCUUUCCUUUAUUUCCUGUCUCUGGGUUCUCAGCUCCUUAAACCCCUUUCCCCAUUCCUUUCCCAUCCCUCAGGUAUCUAAAUUCAUUUAUUCCCCACAGUCUAGUUCUCAACAUGGAUCAUUCCUUUCUCCCUCUCUCUGUCACUGUGGCUAACUAUUUCUCUUUGGGUUUGUCUUUUCAGUUUUGCUUUUCCUCCUUGUACUCCUCAGUUCAGUCAUCCCACACCACAAACUUCUUGACAUUCAUGCGUUCCUUCUCAACGAGAUUUGACAGUCAUUCAUGUAUCAGAGUUUGGGUCUCUCCAUUCAUUCUUUGCUUCUGCCAUUCAGUCACUCAUCCUCAUCUUCUCGCUCUCUCAUUUUCUCACUCCACUCUCCUCUCCCAAUUUUUCUGCAUCUACUUACUUUUGCCACUCCAGGAUAUCCAUUCAUCCCUCAAUAUCUGUAUGCCUACAUGUCCCAUUUGUUCCCUUCCAUGAGUCUGGGCCCUCUCUCUCUCUCUCUCUCUCUCUCUCUCUCUCUCUCUCUUUCUCUCUCUCUCUCUCACACACACACACACACGGAUUUUUUCUGUGACAUCAUCUCUCAUACUGCUUAUUAAAUCUUCAGCCUCUUGACCUUCUCAUAGCUUUGGCUAUCACUCUUUUCUCCACCUUUCCUAUUUAAUUCUUUUAAACUCCUAUUUAAUUCUUAUUAAAUCCUAUUUAAUUCCAGCCCACCUUCCUGUCCCAUGAGCUUCAGGAACAACUCUUUCAUUCAAUACACCUCCAUAUCUACAAAGGUCUCUCACUUUCCCCCUCUCUCCAUCCAUUGUUUCCCUCUUUCUCUAUUCAUUUAAGUCUUGGGUUCUCUUCAAUUAGUGUCUUGACUUUUACUACCUGUAUAUGACAACCACAAUCUACUUCCUUUAUUCUAAGUACCCAUUGGGAUCCCCUGCAGAUAUAUCUCCUUUUCUAUACCUGUGAAUCUAUUAACAUGUAUUCCCAUUCAUUUCCCCUUCUCUCACUGUUCUUCUCCCAAUGUUUUUCUUUCAUUCAAUCUCACAGAUCAUCCUACUUUCUUUUGUGCUCCCCCAUUCAGUCAUCUCACACUGCAUUUCUCGCUCUAUUCAUCCUUCUUUCUUAUUGGAACUUGACUGUUCCCUCAAGUAUCAGAGGUUGGGUCUCUCCUUUCACUCCUCUCUUUGUGGGCUCUGCAUCUCACAUUCUCACAUUCAUGCCAUGUGGAUUUGUCAGUCCACUCUCCUCUCUUUCUCAUUAGCCACUCAUCUUUCAUCUUCUCCCUAUGAAGAAUUAUCCAUCACACACAGUUGCCCUUGCUUCACACAUUCAAGUCCCAUCAACAUCUUAUUUCCCACAGAUGUCUCACACAUAGGUGGUAUCUGUAGCAGCCACAUCUCACUAGGCCCUAUCAACAUGUACCUGUGUCUACCUCAGUGAUUCCUUGGAGCCACUCUAUCUCCUUGUCUUCUGAAAUCUUGGCUUUCUCUUUUUCAUCUGCAGACCAUUCUGAUGCUUCCCAUUCUGCUUUCAUACUUUAUUGACUUGGCAGGAAUGUUGACACAGGCAUCUUGCACUCCAUAGCAUUUCCAUCCUCAUGUGUCUCAUUCUCUUCACCUUUCACACCAGAAUCUCACAUUUUCUCUAUUUUUCACAGUGGCCCGGCCUCUUCUGUAUUCAUUCAUACUCUCUUACUACUACACCUAAGCCCCCCUGUAGCUCCAUCACCCAUUGAUCACACGAACAUGAAGUUUCUCCUUUUCAUACAUCAGUUACAAGUGAGCUCACUAGAUUUAGCUUCUCCGCACCACACCUAUUCAUUUUAUUGCUUCUCUCAUUGUUCACUCCUUUGGGUAGAUUUUUUAAACAGCCAGUAAUCACUUUCUCUCUUCACCAUUUUCUUACAAGUUUCCAAUGGCCCUUUACCAGCAUAGUAUACUCUCACCCUGUCAACUUUCAUCCUUUCAUGGUUUUACUGUUUUUCAGCUAUUCAUCCUUCAGGGCUUAAGGCUUCUACUUUCACACACACACACUGCAAAGCACAUUUAGUUUCAUCUGAGAAUCUCUUACUUUAUGUACAGUCCCUUUUGUUCGAUCACACUGUCUCUUGCUCUCUUUAUCUGAACAUUAUUCAGUCUCUUGCUCUCUCUUUCCAUAUAUUACUCAUGCUUUUGGUGUCUCCAUUCAUCUCUUAUUUCUUACUAUUUCUAGUUGGAUUUCUCUCAGUGUCCAGAUCUCUUUUAUUUUUUUUCUGUCUCUGAUAUUCAUGGUUCCCAGCUCAUUAUACCUCUUUAUUCAUUCCUUUCAAAUCACUCAAGUGUCUAAAUUCGUGCAUUUCCCACAGUUUAGGCCUCAACAUGAGAUUCCUUUCUCCCUCUCUCAUUCACUGUGGCUAACAACUCUCUUUGGAUGUGAGUCCUCAGUUUUGCUUCUCUUCCCUGUGCUCCUCAAUUCAGCCAUCUCUCCCUGCAUACACUAUGCCAUUCAUGCAUUCUUUCUCAGUGAGAUUUGACAGUCACUCGUGUAUCAGAGUUUGGGUCUCUCCAAUCAUUCUUGGUUCUGCCAUUCAGUCACCCAUACUCAUACUCUCACUCUCAUUUGCUCACUCCACUCUCCUCUCCCAACUUCUCCAUCCAUUCGAUUCUGACCUCCCAGUAUAUCCAUUCAUCCCCAAAUUUUUCACCCUUUUUGUUUUCACAGUGGCCCGGCCUCUUCUGUAUUCAUUCAUGCUCUGUUAGUACUAGACAUAAACUCUUCUCUGCCCCCCUGUAGCUCCAUGACCCCACUGACCACACAAACAUGGAGUUUCUCCUUUCAUACACUGGUCACAAUCGAGCUUGCUAGAUUUAGUUGCGCAGCCCCCAGGGGACAGCUUAGUCUCUCCACACCACACCCAUUCAGUACAUCACUUCUCCCAUCCUUCACUCAAUCAUCACUUCACCAUUUACUUGCAUGUUCUCCAGUGGCUCUUCAGCAGCAUAGCAUAUUUCAUUCUCAUCUUGCAUCUUUUCAUGGUUUUGCUGUUUUUCAGCUAUUCAUCCUUCAUGGCUAUGGCUUCUGCUUACACACACACACACACACACACACACACACACACACACACACAUGCAUAUAUACACACCCAUACACACGCACAUACACACAUGUGUGCGCACACAUACACAGGCACACGCACACAUGCACAUACACACGUGCGCACACAUGCACAUACACGUGCGCGCACACACACGUGCGUCCAUGCGCGCGCACACACACACACACACACACACACACACACACACACUGCAAAACAUACUUAUUUCCAGCCAAAUAUCUUUUUUGUGCGUGACAGGGCUAUUAACACACAUCACUCACUCUCUUGCUCUCUCUUUCCAUACAUUGCUCAUGCUUUUGAUGUCUCUCUCCUAUUUCUCCCUAUCUCUAGUUGGAUUUCUCUCAGUGUCCACAUCUCUUUUCCUUUUGUUUUCUCUCUCUGAGUUCUAGACAUUCAGGUUUCUUAGCUCCUCAUACCUCUUUACCCAUUCUUUUCACAUCACUCAAAUAUCUAUUUCAUCCAUUUCCCUCAAUCUAUGCCUUAACAUGAAUUCCUGUCUCCUUCUCUCAGGCACCCUGUCUGUUUCUCUUUGCAUGUGUCUCCUCAGUUUUAUCUCUCCCUGUGCUCCUCCAUUCAGCCAUCUCACACUGCAUGUUCCAUGUCAUUCAUGUGUUCCUUCUCAAUGAGAUUUGACAGUCAUUCAUGUAUCAGAGUUUGGGUCUCUCCAUUCAUUCUUUUGUGUCUGACAUUCAGUCACCCAUCUUUAUCCUCUCACUCUCUCCUUUUCUUACUCUCUCCUCUUCCUACUUCUCUUUAUCCAUUCAAUUCUCUCCUCCCAGUAUAUCAAUUCAUCCCUCAGUGUCUGUUUGUAUACUUAUCCCACUUGUUCCCUUCCAUCAGUCUGGGCCUGCUCUCUCCAUCAGGGAUUUUUCCUAGGACACAUUCAUUUCUCAAACUGCUCUUGAUUCACCUUCCUCUCCCUGAGUCUUUCCCUCCUAGUUCAGCAUCUAGACCUUUUCACAGUCACUGAAAUCACUAGUCCUAUUACCCAUUUAACUUCUUGGACUUUCUUACUCACCUCACUGUCUCACAAUCUGCAGCUACAAAUCUUACAUUUCAAUACGUCUCCAUUUCUAGAUCUCUCUUACUCAUUUGCUAUCCAGUGUUAACUUUCCCUCGUUCUCCAUUCAUUUAACUCUUGGGUUCUCUUCAAUUAGUGUCUUGACUUUUACUACCUGUAUAUGACCACAAUCUACUUCCUUUAUUCUAAGUACCCAUUGGGAUCCCCUGCAGAUAUAUCUCCUUUUCUAUACCUGUGAAUCUGUUAACGUGUAUUCCCAUUCAUUUCCCCUUCUCUCACUGUUCUUCUCCCAAUGUUUUUCUUUCAUUCAAUCUCACAGAUCAUUCUACUUUCUUUCAUGCUCCCCCAUUCAGUCAUCUCACAUUGCAUUCCUCGUUCCAUUCAUCUUUCUUUCUUAUUGGAACUUGACUGUUCCCUCAAGUAUCAGAGAUUGGGUCUUUCACUCCUGUCUUUUGGCCUCUGGGUCUCACAUUCUCACCUUCACCCCAUUCUCCAAUAGCUCUUUUGCAGCGAAGCAUAUCUGACAACUCACCUGAGUGUCUGACACUCAGGUGAUAUUUAUAGCAGCCAAAUCUCACUAGUCCUAUCAAUAUGUCCCUGUCUCUACCUCGGUGGUUCUCUGGAGCCAAUGUAUAUCCUUGUCUUCUAAAAUCUUUGCUUUUUCCCUUUGCUCAGCAGCCCAUCUUUGAUUGUUGCCCAUUCUGCUUUCUCCUUUUGGUGUAUUGACAGAUAUCUUUCCACAGGCACCUCUCACUCCAGAACAUUUCCACCUUCACACGUCUCACACUUUUGACCUUUCGUACCAGCAAUCUCACAUUUUCUCAUUCUUUUUUUUUUUUUCACAGUGGCCCGGCCUCUUCUGUAUUCAUUCAUGCUCUAUUAGUACUAGACCUAAACUCUUCUCUGUCCCCCUAUAACUCGAUGAUCCCUUGACCACACAAACCUGGAGUUUCUCCUUUCAUACACUGAUCACACUCUAGCUCACUAGAUUUAGCCGCAUAGCCCACAGGGAGCAGCCUUAUCUCUCCACACCAUGCUCAUUCAGUCCAUCACUUCUCUCAUCAUUCAUGUAGAUUUUCUAAACACCUAAUCAUCACUUUCACUCUUCACCAUUUACUUGCACAUUCUCCAAUGGCUCUUUUGCAGCAAAGCAUAUUUGACUCUUACCCUCUCAUCUUUCAUCCUUUCAUGGUUUUGUUGCUUGUCAGCUAUUCAUCCUGCAUGGCUUAGGCUUCUGCUUUCACAUACACACACAGACACACAGACACAUAUACACACACACAUACUACAAAGCACAAUUAUUUCCAUCCAAAAAUCUCUUACUUGUGUACAGGUCUCUUUCAAUACGUUGCACACUCUUUUUCUCUCUCCAUCCAAACAUCAUUCAGUCUUUUGGUCUCUCUUUCCAUACACUGCUCUCUCUUUUGGUGUCUCCCUCCAUCCAUCUCUUAUUUCUCACUCUCUCCAGUUAGAUCUCUCUCUCUCUCUCUCUGUCUAGGUCUGUCUUCCCUCUGUUUUAAGUCUCUGACUUCUGGAUGGUCAAAUUUCUCAGCUCCUUAUACCUCUUUACCCAUUCCUUUCAAAUCACUCAAGUGUCUAAAUUCAUCCAUUUACCACAGUCAUUCAUGUAUCAGAGUUUGGGUCUGUCCAUUCAUUCUUUGGUUCUGCCAUAUGUUCUUCCAUCCUCACCCUGUCAUACAUUUUCUCACUUCACUCUCCUCUCCCAACUUCUCUUCAUCCAUUUAAUUUUGACCCCUAGGUUAUCCAAUCUUCCCUCAAUAUCUGUAUGCACCCACAUUACACUUGUUCCCUUCUAUUUCUUUGGGCCUUCUCUUUCUCUCAGGGAUUUUUCCUAGGACACAAUCUCCUCUUAUACUGCUUUUGACUGAGCUUCCUGUCCUUGAGCCUUUUCCUGCUUGUAUUGGUUUUUUUUUUUUAAUCUUCAGCAUCUUGACCUUCUCACAGAUUCAGCUAUCUCUUUUUUCUCUACCUUCCCCACUUUAUUUCUUGGGCUUUCCAACUCAUCUCACUCUCUCAUGAUCAGAGGCUACCUAUCUCUCAUUGAAUACAACUUCAUUUCCAUAGAGCUCUCACUCUCUAUUCUUUU